rnacentral:rRNA from 1 species
CCUUAGAGUUUGAUCCUGGCUCAGAACGAACGCUGGCGGCGUGCUUAACACAUGCAAGUCGAACGUGAUUGAGAGCUUGCUCUCAUGAAAGUGGCGCACGGGUGAGUAACACGUGGAUAAUCUGCCUGGCGAUUCGGGAUAACACUUCGAAAGAGGUGCUAAUACCGGAUAAGCCCACGGAGUCKUUGGACUCUGCGGGAAAAGGGGGGGACCUUCGGGCCUUCUGUCAUCAGAUGAGUCUGCGUACCAUUAGCUAGUUGGUAGGGUAAUGGCCUACCAAGGCUACRAUGGCUAGCUGGUCUGAGAGGAUGAUCAGCCACMCUGGAACUGAGACACGGUCCAGACUCCUACGGGAGGCAGCAGUGGGGAAUUUUGCGCAAUGGGCGAAAGCCUGACGCAG